AGUAUUCCAGAAGUUGUAAAACUGUUAAAGAUAAAUGGGGUUUUUUCAAUUACAAGUGCUUCAGUUGAGAGGUCAUUUUCUUGUUUGAAGAGGGUAAAAAAUUAUUUUAGAAAUACUAUGAGCCAAGGACGUUUUAGUUCUCUUUGCAGGAUUUCCAUUCACAAAGACAUACUGUCAGAGAAAGAAGACGCCAACACAUUGCAUGAUGAGGUAUUCAUAUAUGGCUGAUAGCAAGCUGAUGAUGUCUUACGUCCAUGGCAUGUGAGAAUUUUUCCGGGAACUUUUUAAUGCAAGCAAUGAUUAUUGUCAUUUCAGCACGACAAUGAACGGCAUCACAACUUUUGAUAGUUGUUAAUGACAAAUCUGAGCCUUUUUCGGUUCUUUUGUCAAAGUUUCUUUACAAGAUGUACAUAGGUAUCUAUUUAUGUAUGUGGUGUUUAGAAAAUAAAUCACAUAUCUGCAACUA